GGGUCAGUAGGUUGGUCGUGCCACCGGUACGUACUGGUCCCACUGAUUCCUCCUUCCUGAAGAACCGUAAUGCCAUUAAUUCGGUGUUGCGGGGAAACAGGACUGUUACUUUGAAAAAAUUAGAGUGUUUAAAGCAAGCUGACGCUUGAAUACAUUAGCAUGGAAUAAUGAAAUAGGACGAUCGAUCCUAUUUUGUUGGUUUCUAGGAUUGACGUA
rnacentral:rRNA from 1 species